UACGGAGGGGGCUAGCGUUAUUCGGAAUUAUUGGGCGUAAAGGGCGUGUAGGCGGCUUCGUGUGUCCCGUGUGGAAGCCCUCGGCUUAACCGAGGAAUUGCAUGGGAAACUGCAGAGCUUGAGUCCGGGAGAGGAGAGCGGAAUUCCCAGUGUAGCGGUGAAAUGCGUAGAUACUGGGAGGAACACCGGUGGCGAAGGCGGCUCUCUGGACCGGUACUGACGCUGAAACGCGAAAGCUAGGGGAGCAAACAGG
rnacentral:rRNA from 1 species